AGCACCUGCACGUCAUCAUUGUGUGGUUAUGAGUUCCUGACAUCUCCACAGUUUGCAGCUGGAGGGCAGUGGCACCUUGGGGUGGUGUUUGAGGGUCCCAGCAUGAGGGAAGAGAUGAGAAUCUUGACUCCUUGUUUCAGAAGGCUGAUUUGUUAUUUUAUGAUAUAUUAAAAGAAUAUAAUAUAUGUCAUAUAUAUUGAUAUAUAUAGCUUUAAUAUAUAACCAUAUAUAGUAAAGCUAUAUAUAUCAAAAUAUAUAUAACUAUAUAUUAAAGCUAUAUAUGGCUUUAAUUNGCUCCGGGCAGCAGCGCUCCCAGGGCCAGCAGGGCCACAACCAGGGCACAUCCUGCCCUCUGGGGACAUGGAAGGAAUGUCACCUUCAGUGUGGCUGCCACGGACGGGGAAGGAGCGGCCAGCAGCAGGAGUGAGUGCGGGCUGGCUUUGGGGAACAGGAGGGGCUGCAGGGCAAGGGACAGGCAGGGACAGGGACACGGUGGCAGGGUCCAGCCCUGUGUGGUUUCUGUGCGUUUGUGGCUCCUCCCUCCCCAAAUUCCAUUUUCCCCGCAGGUGCUGGCACAGCUGUGAGAGUCCCCCGGCCAUGGAGGUCACCGUUGUCCCCAGGGCUGCGAGGGGACCAGAAAGGGGAGCUGCCCUGCAAGGUACAGCCCUGGGGUCUGGGGUUUGGGGCUUGGGUUCUGCCAUGCCACAGCUCCACCUGGGACAGGAUGCAUUGGUGGGGACAAGGAUGCUUCUGGCUCUGCUUCCAGCUGGGAUCUGGAGAGCAGCAGGACACCGAGGGGCCAGGACACCAAGCUUAGCCCUGGCCCUUGUGUCCCACGUGGUGGACACGGGAAUGCACCAGGAAAUGCAAUGGGAAGGGGGAAAAUGGGAUUGUAACCCCAGUGCUGGAUGCCAGGGGCUGGUGGGGCAGCCACUGUGGAGGAGCCAGGAGGGGACACGAGUGCUGGGAUCUGGUGCCAGGCCCAGGAGCCAAGGGGACAGAGCCAGGACUGGCCUGGCACUGCUGGGACACACCUGGGACACCUGUCACCGGUGCCACAUGGAUCUGCAGAGCACGUCUUGGCAGGGGCAGGGAGCCCGUGUGAGCCAGGAGCAGCUGGACAAGGAGAGAAGGAAAAUAACAACUUUAGAAGAAGAGAAACUGGAGCUGCUGGAGGUCAGAGCACUCCUGGUUUUCCAGAGGGGCCAGGAUCACACCGGAGGGGCCGUGGGAAGGAGCACACACAUCACACCCUGCCACAGCUCAGCCCCUUUUCCAGCAUCUCAUGGGAAACAUUCCUGCCUCCCAAAUUCCUACAGAGCCCAGCUGGAUUUAUCCACAGCGGGGUUUAUUGAGGGACUGAGGCUUUUAGGAGAAGAAUUUGUUGGGAAAACCACCCUUGUGGCCGUGGGCAGCCUGGGGUCAGUGUGUGCAGCUCAGAGGGUCCCUGGAGAGCCUGGGCAGAGGCAGGAGAGCUGGAAUGUUGGGAAGGGCAGAGAAACAGGCAGGGCUGGGGGCUGGGUGACAAUNCUGAGGCCUCUCAGCUUCUCAGGAGAAAAAAUCCUAAGGAAAGGAUUUUCCAUAAAAGAUGUCUGUGACAUUGGAGGCUCUGGGCUGAUCCCGAGGGUUCGGUGGAAGCUUUUCCUAUGGGGAAUUCCCGCUGUGGACAGGGAUGCUCUCUCUGCAGGGAUGCUCUGCCCCACUAGAUGGCAACUGCGCUCCGCACAACGCUCGGGAAGCUGCGGACGGGAUAAAAACCCUUCCCUGGAGAGCCGAGGUGUUUCCUCCUCCCGAAACGGCGGGAUCCAGAUGUGCAGGCACAGCGGCACCGCUGGAUGGUUUGGGUGGGCACAGCUGGCUCUGAUAUGCGUUCCUGGCACAUCCCAAAGGCGCCAGCCUCCCUUUCCCUGGGAAAGCUGCUCCUCCCAAACGCUGCCUUUGGGAUUUCUGCCAGCCUGAGCCGGGGGAUCUCUGCAGGAGCACGGAGGGGAGGAAGGGCUCCUGCCGGGGCUCAGAUCCACAGGAUCCUCCCCACAAUCCGUGUCUGAGAUCCACACCUUGGGUGGAACACCCUAAAGCCAAAGCCUGGGCCUGGGCUUGUCAGAGAAUCCUGGAAUAUCCUGAGCUGGAAGGGACCCAGCAGGAUCCUCCAGCCCAGCUCCUGUUCCUGCCCAGACCCCCAACAACCCCACCCUGUCCAUCCCUGGCAGUGCUGCCCAAAGGCUCCUGGAGCUCUGGCAGCCUCGGGGCCGUGCCCAUUCCCUGGGCAGUGCCCAGCAUGGGACAUCUGUGACCCCCAAAGAUGGAUAAGGAACAAUUUCCCCUUUUCUCUGGUGUUUCCAUGUCUCCAGAUCUCUCCCCAUCCACCACUUCCAUCAGGGCAGCUUGGCCCUGCUCUCAGGUGAGUUUGAGCAGAGCAGAUCUACCCCAGAGCACAUCCUCCAUCCCAGGGGAACUCCACAUGGAUCCUCCCCACACAGCCAAAGCAACGUGAGGAAAAAUCCCCUCCAUAAACCAGGAGAUUUCCACGUCCAGCCUCUCUGGGAGUUGCAGAGCAGGACACACUGCUGUCCUUUGUGUUCAUCCUUCAGAGCAGGACACACUCCUGUCCUUGCUGGCACCUCUUGGGCCACUCCUGCUGCACAGAGGCUGCUUUAACCCAGCUCAAUCCUGCUUGGAGCCAAAGCAGGAGGGAAUUGCACCCCACCCUCCAUGAUCCCCAUUCCUGCAGCACAGGGCAGGUGUUUCCCUGAGGUGUUCCCUCUCCCUGAGGCAUUGCUGGGUCCUGUGCACCUGGAAAAGGGGAAAAACAGGGCUGGGAAAGUGUGGAGCACUGCAGGAAUGGAUCCUGAUCCUCACUGGCAUUCAGGGUGGCUCACACGGAGGCCAAGGAGAAACCUGAGGCUGCUCUGACCUCCAGAGCAGGGGAGGGAGGCACCAGAGGAGCAGUGGCGCCUUCAGCGAGGUGACACGGUGACAGGAAUGUUAAUGCUGGCACAGCUCCCUCUCCCAGGUAGGAAGUGCUUCCAGCAGCACAGCAAAUCCAAUUUCUGCUGGAUACAAAUUCCACCAAGCAGCCAAAGCCUCAGUGAGACUCCCAACGAGGCUGGAAUUGAAUUCCAGCUGUGGGAGAUAGGGAGCAGCUCCAGCUGGGAGGAGAUGGGAGCCUGGGACAGGGGCGGGGAGAUUUUGGGAACACAACUGGGGCUCUUGGAGGAGGAGAAGAGGAUGGAGGAGAAACUGGAUCUGCCUGGGGGAGAGCAGGGGGAUGUGGGGCAAGCUGGAGCUGGGUCUGCCCUGGAUCCCUGGAAGUGGCCAAGGCCAGGGGCCACUGCUGCCUCCUGCCCUGCCUGGUGAGCAGCACGUGGAAUCAUGGAAUGGGUUGGGUGGGAAGGGACAUUAAACUCAUCCAGUGCCACCCCUGCCAUGGCAGGGACACCUCCCACUGUCCCAGGCUGGCCUUGGGCACUGCCAGGGAUCCAGGGGCAGCCACAGCUGCUCUGGGCAUCCACACUUCCUUCACUCAGGGCCUUUCUCACCCUCUGGUCGCUCCAUGAAUCCAGGAUCCCUGGGAUCUUGAAGCUGGACCCCAUCUUCAGAGCUGGAGCUCUGCUGGCCAGCAUUUUCCAGGAUACUCAGGGAAAUCAGGGAUCCAGGAUCUCAGGUAUACUCAGGGAAUUUGGAUCAUGCCUUCCCAAAUCCAAGCCUCCUAAAGCAUUUUUCCACAAGAACAAAGAGAUUUAGGGCUCAGAGGAUCCCAGCCUGUGAGCAUUUUCUACCCUUGCCUUCCCCUGGAUGCUGCAGCCAUUACAAACCCCAGCUCAUCCUGACAAAGCAGCACCCUGUGGAAGAAACAAUUCCUUCUCAACAUCCCGUCCAAAUCUCUCCCCUUUUAGUUUAAAACUUGCUCUUUCACCCUCUGCCCUUGUAAAAAUUACUCCUUCAUGAAUUCUUGGCUGCUGUUCCUGCAGGAUCUGGGUUACCCCAGUGGUUAUCCAGGAAAAAGGAGGCAGCAGAGAAAGGAGGAAUGGAUGGACCAACACGAUUUCAAGCCCUGGAUCCUCCAUGAGGAUCAUCCUCCACACCAUCCCGUGAUGGUGUUCACAGGGGUCUGAGGAUGAGGGAAGAGAUGAGGAUCUGACUCCAUGUUUCAGAAGGCUUGAUUUAUUAUUUUAUGAUAUAUAUUAUAUUAAAACUAUACUAAAAGAAUAGAAGAAAGGAUUUCAUCAGAAUGCUGGCUAAGAGAAAAAGAAGGAAUGAAUAACAAAGACAGUGUCCAAGCCAGCUGACUGUGAUUGGCCAUUAAUUACAAACAACCACGUGAGACCAAUCACAGAUGCAGCUGUUGCAUUCCACAGCAGCAGAUAAUAAUUGUUUACAUUUCGUUUUUGAAGCUUCUCAGUUUCUCAAUCUUCUCUUAAAGAAAAGAUUUUUUAUAAAAGAUGUCUGUGACACCAUCCACAGGACCCUGGAUCCCUCCAGUGCCCACUGGAAGUUCAGGCAUUGCCUUCCAGGGGAAUUUUCUGUCCCAAACACCCCUGAGCAGGAAGCUGGAAUAAUCCAAAGGGCAGAAUGAAGAGGGUCCAACUGCAGCAGAGAACCAGCUGCAGGUUUACAGGAAAAAGGAAUUUCCAGGAAUCCUCAGUGUGGAAACCUUGAUGGGGGCCAGGAAAUGUGGCUCCAAGGAUGUCUGGGUGGGUGAAGCUCUGAACAACCCGAGAAAAUAAAUGGUAACACUCGGGUGGUGCUCA
ensembl:lncRNA